UUUAAAACGUUGACGAGAAGAGUAACUUAAGGAUUCAGGUAAGAGAACCCGGUUUGGUGUGAAAGGGGACUGAAGAGCGAAGUGAAGAUGAGCUCUGAGUUUGUAAUUAGUUCACGCUAUUUACGCGGUCGCGACCGUUAUAUCGCCGGAUUUCAACAGGAAUCGUCGAGGUAUCAUUUGUGAGAAUGGUAUAAACUAGGGUGGUAACACGAAUCUAUUCGUCCCUUUG
rnacentral:ncRNA from 1 species